rfam:Picea glauca, whole genome shotgun sequence.
ACAUGCCUACAACAUAACACUAAUGCAUUAGAUCCCAUUACAACUCCAUAGUUAAGCACACUCAAUCUAGAGUAGUACUAGGAUGGGUGACUGCAUGGGGAUUCCUAGUGUUUUACAUGCC